AGUGAACGCUGGCGGUAGGCCUAACACAUGCAAGUCGAACGGCAGCACAGUAAGAGCUUGCUCUUACGGGUGGCGAGUGGCGGACGGGUGAGGAAUACAUCGGAAUCUACUUUUUCGUGGGGGAUAACGUAGGGAAACUUACGCUAAUACCGCAUACGACCUACGGGUGAAAGCAUGGGAUCUUCGGACCUUGCGCGAUUGAAUGAGCCGAUGUCGGAUUAGCUAGUUGGCGGGGUAAAGGCCCACCAAGGCGACGAUCCGUAGCUGGUCUGAGAGGAUGAUCAGCCACACUGGAACUGAGACACGGUCCAGACUCCUACGGGGGGCAGCAGUGGGGAAUAUUGGACAAAGGGCGCAAGCCUGAUCCAGCCAUACCGCGUGGGUGAAGAAGGCCUUCGGGUUGUAAAGCCCUUUUGUUGGGAAAGAAAAGCAGCAGGUUAAUACCCCGCUGUUCUGACGGUACCCAAAGAAUAAGCACCGGCUAACUUCGUG
rnacentral:rRNA from 1 species